rnacentral:rRNA from 1 species
GAUGAACGCUGGCGGCGUGCCUAAUACAUGCAAGUCGAGCGAACAGACGAGGAGCUUGCUCCUCUGACGUUAGCGGCGGACGGGUGAGUAACACGUGGAUAACCUACCUAUAAGACUGGGAUAACUUCGGGAAACCGGAGCUAAUACCGGAUAACAUGUUGAACCGCAUGGUUCAACAGUGAAAGACGGUCUUGCUGUCGCUUAUAGAUGGAUCCGCGCCGCAUUAGCUAGUUGGUAAGGUAACGGCUUACCAAGGCAACGAUGGGUAGCCGACCGGAGGGGGUGAUCGGCCACCCUGGAGCUGAGACACGGUCCAGACUCCUACGGGAGGCAGCAGUAGGGAAUCUUCGGCAAUGGGGGAAAGCCUGACGGAGCAACGCCGCGUGAGUGAAGAAGGUCUUCGGAUCGUAAAACUCUGUUAUUAGGGAAGAACAAAUGUGUAAGUAACUAUGCACGUCUUGACGGUACCUAAUCAGAAAGCCACGGCUAACUACGUG